rnacentral:rRNA from 1 species
GAUGAACGCUGACAGAAUGCUUAACACAUGCAAGUCAACUUGAAUUUGGGUUUUUAACUUAGGUUUGGGUGGCGGACGGGUGAGUAACGCGUAAAGAACUUGCCUCACAGCUAGGGACAACAUUUGGAAACGAAUGCUAAUACCUAAUAUUAUGAUAAUAGGGCAUCCUAUAAUUAUGAAAGCUAUAAGCGCUGUGAGAGAGCUUUGCGUCCCAUUAGCUAGUUGGAGAGGUAACGGCUCACCAAGGCGAUGAUGGGUAGCCGGCCUGAGAGGGUGAUCGGCCACAAGGGGACCGAGACACGGCCCUUACUCCUACGGGAGGCAGCAGUGGGGAAUAUUGGACAAUGGACCGAGAGUCUGAUCCAGCAAUUCUGUGUGCACGAUGAAGUUUUUCGGAAUGUAAAGUGCUUUCAGUUGGGAAGAAAAAAAUGACGGUACCAACAGAAGAAGUGACGGCUAAAUACGUGCCAGCAGCCGCGGUAAUACGUAUGUCACGAGCGUUAUCCGGAUUUAUUGGGCGUAAAGCGCGUCUAGGUGGUUAUAUAAGUCUGAUGUGAAAAUGCAGGGCUCAACUCUGUAUUGCGUUGGAAACUGUAUAACUAGAGUACUGGAGAGGUAAGCGGAACUACAAGUGUAGAGGUGAAAUUCGUAGAUAUUUGUAGGAAUGCCGAUGGGGAAGCCAGCUUACUGGACAGAUACUGACGCUGAAGCGCGAAAGCGUGGGUAGCAAACAGG